GACGUAGGAGGCGAGCGUUGUCCGGAUUCAUUGGGCGUAAAGAGCACGCAGGCGGUUUGGCAAGUCAGAUGUGAAAACCCGGAGCUCAACUCCGGACCUGCAUCCGAAACUGCCCGACUAGAGGUAGGUAGGGGAGAUCGGAAUUCCUGGUGUAGCGGUGAAAUGCGCAGAUAUCAGGAGGAACACCGGUGGCGAAGGCGGAUCUCUGGGCCUUACCUGACGCUCAGGUGCGAAAGCUAGGGGAGCGAACAGG
rnacentral:rRNA from 1 species